AGAGUUAAUUAGCUGUGACUUUAGGUUAAAUAAUUUGGAUAAUUAAAUCAAUAUAAGUGAUUGAGUUUGGUAUUGGGUAAGGACAAAAUUAAGUGGGCGUUAGAUGUAGUACCGUGAGGGAAAUUUGAAAUAUUUGAAAAAUUAAUUGAAUGAGAAGUAGGCUUAGUGCUGUACCUUUUGUAUCAGGGUUUAUUAAAUAGGAAGGAGUAAUUCUACGAUCUCGAUACAAGAAGGGCUACCACUCUAAAUUAGGUAAGGUGGUAAAUUUAUUGAAAAUAGUGUGGUAGGAACGAAAAGUUAAUCGAUUCUUGUGGUUUCUGGUUUCCUAAGAAAUAAAUUUAAUUUAGGAAUAACGAGAAUCUUGAGAAUUAUGCUUUAGGUUUAAAAUUAUUCUACUAGUCUGGGGGAUAAGCUUCAGGUUAGAUUUAUAACUUUUAAAAUUAAAGAAAAUUUGUAGGCUUGAAAGUAGCCAUCGGUGAAGGAUGUUAUAAUUUAUUUUCUUAUGAGAUAAUUUUUAAUGGUUUAGGUGAUUAUUAGGAAACCGUCCUUAAUUGUAGGGAUGGGGUAUAAUGAUGAAAUAAGUAGAAUAAGUUGGAGGUGAAAGAAAUUUUAGUAAGGAACUCGGCAAAUAAAGUGCUCGCCUGUUUAUCAAAAACAUCGCCUUUUGAAGGAAUAGAAGGUCUGACCUGCCCACUGAAUAAGUUAAAGGGCCGCGGUAUUUUGACCGUGCAAAGGUAGCAUAAUCAUUAGUCUUCUAAUUAAAGGCUGGAAUGAAUGGUUGGACGAGGUACUAGCUGUCUCACUAAAAUAGAAUUGAAUUUAGCUUUUCAGUCAAAAGGCUGAAAUGAAGUUGGAGGACGAGAAGACCCUAUAGAGCUUUACAUUGGACUUUUUUAAUUUGUUUGGAAAACUUUUAAUUUUAAAAGAAAAAUGUUUCGUUGGGGUGACGGGAAGAUAUAAUUAACUCUUUUUAAUUGUUAACAUUGAUGAAUGAAUGAUUGAUCCAUAAGUAAUGAUUAAAAGACUAAGUUACCUUAGGGAUAACAGCGUAAUCUUUUUUGAGAGUUCUAAUCGACAAAAAGGGUUGCGACCUCGAUGUUGGACUAAGGGUUAUUUUUGGGUGUAGCAGCUCAAAGUUUAGGUCUGUUCGACCUUUGAAUCCUUACAUGAUCUGAGUUCAGACCGGCGUAAGCCAGGUCGGUUUCUAUCCUCAAUGAGGAGAAAUAUUUUAGUACGAAAGGACCAAAUAUUUAAGAUAAUCUUGGGAAGUGAAUAACAAUAACUG
rnacentral:rRNA from 1 species